rnacentral:rRNA from 1 species
UACGUAGGGGGCAAGCGUUGUCCGGAAUCAUUGGGCGUAAAGGGCAGGUAGGUGGUCUCGUUUGUCUGGGGUGAAAGCCUUGAGCUUAACUCAAGAAGUGCCCCGGAAACGGCGAGACUGGAGUCUUGGAGAGGGUCGUGGAAUUCCCGGUGUAGCGGUGAAAUGCGUAGAGAUCGGGAGGAACACCAGAGGCGAAGGCGGCGACCUGGACAAGUACUGACACUCAACUGCGAAAGCGUGGGGAGCAAAAGGG